CAUAAGCUAUGCCUCAUAGGCUUUCUUGAAAAAUAUCAAUGACAAUAUGUAAACAGGAACAAAACAAUGACAUGAAUGAUGCUCUCUUCUAUAUUAUAGUUAUUUAGGUAUGUGUGUUGCAUAAGUCUUUCACAGGUUUCAAAAAAGCUAAUGUUAUAAAACUUUUUUCAGGGCACAAACCCACCUUAAAGAGACUUGUCUACUGCCAUUCCCAGCCUAUUUUCAUGCACCAUUUGCAAGCAAGAGGCUGAAUGGUUUGCAAAAAUAAAAAUCAGGACGGUGUCCCGUUAAACCAAAAGAAUAUUGUAGGAGAAAUCUAGAGGAAAGUUUUGAUUUGUGAAAUUGGUUUUCCUGAAAAGUCAUUCAUCCUGCAGAAAGGAUUUAUAACUGUCCACCACC
rnacentral:lncRNA from 1 species